UCGAAUUUAGUAGGGUAGCAUAUCUGGUUUAUUUUUAUCGGAUUCCGAACGAAUUCCGAGGGUCCAUUCGGAGACUUUAAAUAAUGAAAAACCAGAAAAAUCUGGUGCAAUAGUGCAGAUUUUGCACCAGAUUUUCAGAUUUUUCUCCUCAACUUUGAACCCUCAUUUCUUGAGUUCUAGAGCUCCAAAUUGGGUGAUUCAAAAGGCAAAAUUGUGAGGUUUUUCGUGGAGAACGCAUUGGAGAGAUUGAAAACUGAUUUGGAGCAUUCGAUUCAGAGGCUAUCUUGCGUGGAAAUUUAAGGAGAACAUCUUGGAAGUUUCAGAAUCUGUUUUUGGCAUGUCGUUCGAGUUUGGAAGCGUUCCGAGGUCGUUCGAAAGGGAAAAGCUCCAGCACAGUGAUUUGAAGCUCGCGUGUUUAGCCUACAGGACCGAGUACCAUCUACUGUCACGAAUAGAUCGAGCUUGUUGCAGUCAGAUUCGGAGACUAGGGUGAUAACUUGGCAUUUUUGGAUCACUUCUGUCUCCUUCAGAAUGGAUGGCCCGUCUUUUGCCUUUUGAGACUAGCCAGUUGUUGUAUAUAUAUGUCUGGUCCACUUUCAGGACUUGUACUCAUCUUUUAUUUUAUAGCAGCUCUGUACUUGUGACUUCCAGGUUCUGGGAAGGAUCUUUAGUUAUUUAAAACAUGUUUUGGUUUA